GACGAACGCUGGCGGCGUGCUUAACACAUGCAAGUCGAACGAAGAGCGAUGGAAGCUUGCUUCUAUCAAUCUUAGUGGCGAACGGGUGAGUAACGCGUAAUCAACCUGCCCUUCAGAGGGGGACAACAGUUGGAAACGACUGCUAAUACCGCAUACGAUCUAAUCUCGGCAUCGAGGAUAGAUGAAAGGUGGCCUCUACAUGUAAGCUAUCACUGGAGGAGGGGAUUGCGGCUGAUUAGCUAGUUGGAGGGGUAACGGCCCACCAAGGCGAUGAUCAGUAGCCGGUCUGAGAGGAUGAACGGCCACAUUGGGACUGAGACACGGCCCAGACUCCUACGGGAGGCAGCAGUGGGGAAUCUUCCGCAAUGGACGAAAGUCUGACGGAGCAACGCCGCGUGAGUGAUGACGGCCUUCGGGUUGUAAAGCUCUGUUAAUCGGGACGAAAGGCCUUCUUGCGAAUAGUGAGAAGGAUUGACGGUACCGGAAUAGAAAGCCACGGCUAACUACGUG
rnacentral:rRNA from 1 species